ACGGUGAAAUUGCUGAGUCAAAACGACACGUAAACUGUUCCUAGACUGACCUGCAGAAACACAUUUAGAGUCAACAAAGCACGAGAGAGCCCAGGGAAGUGUCUUGGUGUGUGUGUGUGUGUGUGUGUGUGUGUGUGUGUCUGUCUGUCUGUCUGUCUGUCUGUAUCUUUCUAAGGAUCCAAAUGCUAGAAGUUUCGGCAGUCGGGGCUUCAGAGGCGCGCGCGGAGUGCAGACACACGCGGGGGAGCAGAACUGGAAGCGCCGCCGAUCAACGGUGCAGAUAACCUGGCCUGCGUGGAGCGCUGGCUGCCGCAACCAGGUGGGGCGCACUCUCCGGCAUCCCGGGUUUGCAUCCCAGGCGCGUCCGGGGUUUGAACGGCUGUGCCACCAUGUGCCAGUCCGCGUCCUUCCCCGCUGGGCCAAAGCGCCCUGGCCACGGUCCUCCUCCUAGAAACACAGUAAACAAGCAGACAGCGCGAGGCUGCGCGAGCCGAACCUCCUGCCCGGAGUCCGGGGCGCUUUUUCCAGACUCGCUCCGACCCGACAACUCGCCGCCCCCCUGGACUUGGGGGCAAGGGCCGGGACCCCUGGAGGAGCACCGGAAGCAGUGACGCCUCGGGGCCCGGGAACGUUUGGAACUCGUGGGGACAGGGGAAUCGUGGUGGUUCCGUGUCUGCCCGCCAUGGCGGCCCUCGGCCAGCGGCCCAAACCAAGUGCAGCGAAGCUUAGGAAAGGUUACCCAACGUCAUGUGGCUUGAGAAGGCUGCCGGGCGCCUAAAGCCGCCAGCAGGUCCCAUGGUGUAAUGGUUAGCACUCUGGACUUUGAAUCCAGCGAUCCGAGUUCAAAUCUCGGUGGGACCUCACUGAACCUUUUUUUGGCCUUACACUCCUUGUUUUGGGGCCUGCAGGAAGUAGCGAGCAACUCGAGGCUGGACGCGGGACGCACUGACCUGCAGGACGGCUGUUCGGCUUCCCCCGGGUUCAACACGCUUACAUUUCAGGAACAGCCCGGGCUGGGUGGCACUGCGCACGCGCGCCGAGUCAGGCGGAAAAAUACAUGUGUUGAUGGAAGACUGAACAUAACUUUACCCCGGAGGGAAAAACGAAAGAACUCGAAGGCUCCCGAGGCUCUCCUGGCGGGGUACGGCCUCACUCCACGCGCCUGGGAGGUCCCGCCCCGUAUCCUCUGAUUGGCUGGUGUGCCGAACGCGCGGCGGGAUUGCUUUGUGAGCAGCAAAUGAAGUGGCCGGACAGGGCUAAGGGGCGGGCAAGUGACGCCAGGAGACCUCUGAUUGGUCACAAGCGAUUGGUACCCGGAGGCUGGUGCGUUUGGGGGGUCAGAGACCCGAGGUUUGGUUUUGGUUAAGCGCUGCUCACCUAGCGAGGUUCGUUUUCCAAUUAGACAACAGUCCCUUAGCGGACAGCUGCCCAGGACCGUUUCUCACCGUCCAUGGGGUGCUCCUCCAAGCGGAGGACAGACAUUUGCUAAAGGUUUCCCCCUGCAGCAGCGCGCGCGAGGCCGUGGGACCUGCGGGAAAAGGCGCACCUCUACGACAGGGUGAAGAUGUAUGCAGGGAGUAUUGUCAUCUUUGGAUUCGUAUCUGGAUUUUGAGAUGUGUUUUUCCCCGUAGGGUAAGUGACGAGGGAGCCUGCUGACGCAUUAUGGUCUCCCUGCAGAGUGAUUGGCACUGUGGCUAUAGGUCCCCACCCUUGGGAGAAUGCCAUGGAAACAAAAAGGAGCCUCGCUAGACUCUCCUAUGAAUCCUCAGAGCACGCCUCUUCCCGGCCCGACCCCACGCACUCUUUAAAACGUCUGAAUGAAUCCGUUUGAAUGAGCCAUCCCAGCCUCAAAAAAUAUCUAAGCAUGAGAGGAGGAAGGACUUGCUCUCGCGGAGAAUAAAGCUGGUUGUCAACAGUACACUAAAGAAAUUAAGAUAAUAUCCGGAUGGAUAAACAUACCGAUGGAACAGAAUAGAGAACCAAGAUACAGCCCCACCUUUAUGGACAGUAGUCAAUUUAUAACAGAGGUGUCCCGGAAAGAAAAUGUAAAUAAUAAUAAAAGUUGGCACAAUAGAGUAGAGCAAAGGACCUCCUUGACACCGGACCGUUGUGUUUAUAUGGAAAAAUAUGAAAUCGGAAUCCUCUCUAAUUUACACCAAGCACAGCAGUGAAUCCCACGUGAAUUGUUGACCUGAAUGUGAAGAAAGCCGGGAAGCUUGGGGUGACAACCUAGGGGAAUACCUGCAUCUCAGUUUAAACAAAGCCUUAAUUAAAGACCCAAGAGUGUCACGCUUCGCGAGAUGAGUGUGCCACUCUAUGCUCUUAUUAGAAGAUACCAAUAAGAGAGAGAGCAUGUCUGUUGCUCAGUGGUAAAGUGUGCAAGGCCCUCGGUGUGCUGGCAUAAUGAGAAGACAAAAGGUAAGCCACAGAAUAGGGAUUUGCAUGUGUAAUGCACAAGUGAUAACGAAAUCUAAAUAAAUAAAUAUAACAAAUUCUAAAAAUCUGUAAGAAAACUGCAGAAAAAUAACAAAGCCAUGGACUGAGGGGGGAUGGCUCAGCCAGAAAAGUUCUUGUACACAGUAAUGAGGACCUGAGUUCAAUCCCCAGAACUUGUGUAUAGUUCUCCAGGCUGGGGAAGCAGAGACAGGAGGGUCUCUGGGGGCUCACUGGCCAGCUCUUAAGAGAAGCUGUCUUUUUAAAAGAAGAAAGUGAAAGAUGCCUGAGGAACUACACCUAAGACUGACCUCUCGCUUCCACAUUCACAGCCACAUGCGCACACGUUUUUAAACAGCAAAAUCAAGAGGAAAACCGCCUCAGACUUGAGUGGGCACCUUGCUU